AGUGAACGCUGGCGGUAGGCCUAACACAUGCAAGUCGAACGGCAGCACAGUAAGAGCUUGCUCUUACGGGUGGCGAGUGGCGGACGGGUGAGGAAUACAUCGGAAUCUACUUUUUCGCGGGGGAUAACGUAGGGAAACUUACGCUAAUACCGCAUACGACCUACGGGUGAAAGCAGGGGAUCUUCGGACCUUGCGCGAUUGAAUGAGCCGAUGUCGGAUUAGCUAGUUGGCGGGGUAAAGGCCCACCAAGGCGACGAUCCGUAGCUGGUCUGAGAGGAUGAUCAGCCACACUGGAACUGAGACACGGUCCGGACUCCUACGGGAGGCAGCAGUGGGGAAUAUUGGACAAUGGGCGCAAGCCUGAUCCAGCCAUACCGCGUGGGUGAAGAAGGCCUUCGGGUUGUAAAGCCCUUUUGUUGGGAAAGAAAAGCAGCAGGUUAAUACCCCGCUGUUCUGACGGUACCCAAAGAAUAAGCACCGGCUAACUUCGUG
rnacentral:rRNA from 1 species